rnacentral:rRNA from 1 species
ACAUACGCCCACAGGGUGUGGAGAACAGGGCUUCCCGUCCGCUCAGCCGUACUUAAGCCACACGCCGGUGAGUUAGUAGUUGGGUGGAUGACCACCAGCGAAUCCUCACUGUUGUAUGUUU